AUCAAUAAGCGGAGGAAAAGAAAAUAACAAUGAUUUCCCUAGUAACGGCGAGUGAAGAGGAAAGAGCUCAAAGUUGGAACCUGUUUGGCUUAGCCAAACCGGAUUGUAAACUGUAGAAGUGUUUUCCAGACACGCCUGGUAAAAAAGUCCUUUGGAACAGGGCAUCAUAGAGGGUGAGAAUCCCGUCUUUGGCCAGAGCUGUUGUCUUUUGUGAUACAUUUUCAAAGAGUCAGGUUGUUUGGGAAUGCAGCCUAAAUUGGGUGGUAAAUCUCACCUAAAGCUAAAUAUUUGCGAGAGACCGAUAGCGAACAAGUACCGUGAGGGAAAGAUGAAAAGAACUUUGAAAAGAGAGUUAAACAGUAUGUGAAAUUGUUAAAAGGGAACCGUUUGGAGCCAGACUGGCUUUUCUGUAAUCAAUCUAGGCUUUGGCCUGGAUGCACUUGCAGUUUAUGCCUGCCAACGACAGUUAUUUUUGAGGGAAAAAACCUUGUGGAAUGUGGCCCUUCGGGGUGUUAUAGCUACUUGGAAAAUACCUUGGAAGUGACUGAGGAUCGCAGUGAAUGCCUUUAGGCAAGAUUGCUGGGUGCUUUCGCUGAUAUAUGCUAGAAUUUCUGCCUCGGGUGGUGCUAGUGUCUAAAGGAGAAACCCGCUUAGUAUAUUUUUUAUUCGCUUAGGUUGUUGGCUUAAUGACUCUAAAUGAC
rnacentral:rRNA from 1 species